rnacentral:lncRNA from 1 species
UCGAUGGACCAGAUCAUUUAGAGGACGAGCGGGAGGGAGGGACAUCGGAGGGCUCGUCAAGGAGGAGGUCGUCGUAGGGGUCGCGGCGGCCGAAUGCCUGGCUGAUCUGGGGGUCGCUUCUCAGCUGGGCGUUGAAGCGAUCGAAGGUCCAGAAGCCGUAGGGGCGGAGGGGAAGGUUCCAGUUGGCCUUUGUUUUCUCGCACCGCUCCCGCAUCUCGUAGAUGUGCUUCCGCUGCGCCUCGUCCCGCU